UACGUAGGCAGCGAGCGUUGUUCGGAGUUACUGGGCUUAAAGGGUGUGUAGGCGGUUGUUUAAGUUUGGUGUGAAAUCUCCCGGCUCAACUGGGAGGGUGCGCCGAAUACUGAAUGACUUCGAGUGCGGGAGAGGAGAGUGGAAUUCCUGGUGUAGCGGUGAAAUGCGUAGAUAUCAGGAGGAACACCGGUGGUGUAGACGGCUCUCUGGACCGUAACUGACGCUGAGACACGAAAGCGUGGGUAGCAAACAGG
rnacentral:rRNA from 1 species